rnacentral:tRNA from 1 species
AUUUAAAUAAUUUAAUAAAAAUAUUGAUUUGUGGAAUCAAAAAUGUAAUUAGUUUACUUUAAAUU